GUCCAUUUUUUCACUGUGGAGUAGUCCAGGACGAGGCCCUCGCGGAACCCGUUUUUUAUCCACGGGUCAUGUGAAGCCCGCCCGGCCCGGCGUCGUCGGACCCGCGCCCCUCCGUUUCUCCUCUUCGUCGUUCUCCUCGCGAGAGGCGGCGGCCGCGUCCCCGCAGUUUCUGCUCCUCUUCCGCCCCACCCAAUGGCCUCACCCGACUUCCUCCUCCAAUCCUCUCCCUCGUUCGUGCUCCCCAAUCCCCUCCCACAUCUCUCUUUCACCAAUCCACUGCCUCUCCACUCCAUGGCAGAGAUCGUGUUCGUCCGCCGCCUUCGCCGGGAGGAAGCACAAGUCGUUGCUCACAACCUCGCGUAUUUGCCAUGACCGGGAGACGAAGCACAGGCCGCCGCUCGUCUCACCGCCUCGCAUCGUCGCCAUUGAUGGCAGAUCCACAUGUGGCUGCUGCUUGGCAGCUUCCCGCCGCGCCCUCAUGGUCUUCUCCACCGGGUCAGCGGACGAGUAGGCGGAGGUGGAAGCACUCCUAUGGCUUCUCGUGCAGAGACCACGACGUGGUGAGCACAGAGGAGUAGCAGCGGGGUACCAUCGCGCCUCUCCUGACCUGGGCAGUCGCGGUCAUCCAUGAGCUGCUCGACAUGGAGUCUGCCGCCGGUGAGAAGAUGGACUUCUGUGGCGUCGGCUCCAAAGCGGUUUAAUCUCAACUCAUAGGGCAAUUUGAGGGACAUGGAGGAUAGGAAGCACAUGGCUCUCCAACUCCGACCAAAAGCUGCAGUAUUACUUUGGCCGGCAGAUUGGUUGCCAUGUGCUCGGAAGCAGGGUGUAUUUAUCUGUGCCAGAAGGUAGCAUACGAGUCUGCAAAGGAAUUCAGUGCUAUACCUCUACACAAUACAGCAAUUCAGGUUUACUGGUUUACUGAACUGCAGCUUCCUUUUUCAUACACUUCUGUACUCAUCUUUGUUCCAAAAGUUUGCGUGAUGGUUUGAGCUCUAAAAUUACAGUGCUAGAUACCAAUUGAAUGCUGUAUCACUCGUAUGCUUGCUCCUUGCAAUUUGUCAGGGGAUAAAAUUAUGGCUGGAUAUGAUGAAAGGUUUGUCCUAAGAUUUAUGUUGUAUUUCCUCCUUUAUCUUUUCUUUGGAUUGUGUGAGCAUCUUUUUUUAGGAAUUUUUUUUUCCUGCAAAACAACUUUGGAAAGUCACUCUGGCAAGUAUGUGGCAUUCAAGUUGCAUCACUCUGUCCUGUUGGCAUCUAAGAGCAUGAAGAUAUUUAAACACUGGAACACAUCUGACAUGAUAAACAAAAGAUGCAGAUUCAAGGGACCAAUUUGUUCAACUUCACGAAUCACGAAGUAGGCUUGGUAUUAGGCCUUUUUUAUCGGUAUCGGCACCUCCUAGGACAAGUAUUUUCCCUGACAAGUAACUGUAUAGAAGGUUCGGUUGGUUUAGAACCAUGGAUUAUUUAAACGCCAGCCUUUAGAUCAGUAGUUUUAUUUACUUGUAUUUGAUGAUUAUUUCUUUAUAAAAACCACAUAUGUUUGCUAACAUUUCAGGCUAUGGUCUUGAGGAAAGAUGAAAAGAAUGACUUUGCAUAAGUUGUAGCUCCGAAUUUCCCUGUUUUUGUGAUGUUUCGAUUUAGGAAUAACCAUACCAACUUGGUUUUUCCUGCCUCGCUGCACCCCUGUUUUGGUGGUGUCUUGGACUAGGGACAUCCAUAAUUGUUUUGCUGCUUGUAAGGGCCGGAGUUAUUUAAAUUCAAUAUCAAAUAUUCGUGAAGCUGCGAUGAACCUGUGCCAUUGAUGGCAAAGAGGAAAGACAGUAUUUUUGUUAGCAUAAGUAAAUAUUUUCUACUCCUUUUGUUUGAGUGUAUGUGAUGCAUUUGUAUUGUUUAAUUUAGCUUAUUGUUUCUGUCAUAUGCUCUACCGCAAGAAUUUCUUCUAAAUUGGUUAUCCAUUCAACACUCAAGUGAUGUUCUGUGCGAGGUUCAUUUUCUUGGAUAACCAUGUCUAUGCAUCAUGCUAUUGAGUUUUGAAUUGUGAUGCUCUAUUUUUUAUUACCAGAUUUCUAAUGUAAAUUGUUUGAUCUCGGUGCACAUAUAAAUCAGCUGCAAAAUAACUUCUUGUGGGCUAAAAAUAAUUUUUAUUUGGUUCAUCAUGUGUUCAACUUUUUAAAUUCAGUGCAAAAAAAUUCUAAUAUUCUUGUUCCAUUUCUAUUAAGGCUCUCUUGGUGAACAUUUUAAUUAGUGUUAUUUCAGACUUAAUUAUGGUAGUAAUGCAGCACCAAAUCGAUGGUAAUCCUUGUUUCUUGGUAGCGAAGCGUCGCCUCUACUGCAACCGAAUAGGUAGAUGCAAAAAUGAUGCAACAAACAAAUUUUCUCCUCUUUGUUUUCUCUAAAGCUAACUAAUCAAAUAAGAUCUUGGAGAAGGCACUCUCUGGUACUCCUUUUUAUUUUGGUCAUUUCUUUUCUCAUGUGUCGAAGAGAUCAUUAACAGCAUGUGUUGCCAUAAGCGCAGAACUGAGUGAGUACUCCUUUUUUUUCAGUUAUUCGCUUUGCACUCCAGAAAAUCUAUUUUUUCUUUUAGCCUGAUGGCAAAGUAGAUGUUGCCUUAAUAGAGGAUUCUGUUUUAUUUUAGGCUGAUACAAAUGAAUUUUGAUACCUCAGUUAGCUCAUUUCAGAAACUUAACAUGAACAUUUUAUCAAAUGUGCUUAUUUCUUUAGUACCUAUUUUCUAGAGAUUUUUCAUGCUAUCUUAGAUAUUAUUUUCUUAUUUCACAGUGUUGUUAUCUUAUUUCACAUUCUUAUUGCCAAUGAGCUGGUUCGGAACUUUCAUCUUUCUUCUGGUGCUGCCAAGACCUGCCUCAAAGUAGAUCUUCGGAAAGCCUACGACAGCGUGAACCGGCAAUUUAUCUACAAUCAAAAAAACCAAUCUUCCCUUCCGGCGACUUAUAGAUUCCAUCUAAAUCUACAAACGCGUCUUUUUAAAAAAACCUCGAUUGAGUCUAUAUUUAGGUCUUUGAGACGGGCUAAAAAAAAUCCAAACGGGUUGGAGCUGCUUUUGCUUACUCCUUUCCUUGGUACUGCCCAGCAGGAAGGAAAAAGACUAGAUCUCGAACCGUUGCCAGCAGCUUAGAAUUCUACAGUGGAAAAGUAUGAUUCGUUCAUCCGGAAGAAAGGAAUAACUCACUCGGCGAAACAAUAAUCAUGUAUUUUCCGGUGCCAUUUUCAUCUUACGCAUUUUUUAUUGCCUGAAUAAAAUUCAUGGGUCUCUCUAUUAAGCACUUGUAAGCAGUACUGUAUCUUUCAGUCACAUAUUUGUUCAUUCUUAUAUUUUAAUGCCACCUCUGCAAUCUUGCAUAUAUUAUUGUUUCUAUUACUCACUUGGAUAAAGUCAUACAUGCACUGAAAAGUCGGGCUCAGAUAUCAAAACUUAGUUAGGUACUUAGGUUGCUACUAAAUAUUUUUUUAGAGUUGCUGCUUUUAUUAAUAUUUCAGGAACUGCUCAUAUGUAGUUAGCAUAUAUUAUGGUACACAUCUUUUGCAUUAUUAAACGAGGAGUACAUACAAUUCUCUGCGUGGUAUUAGCUACCAACUGGUAUAUCUUGCAUUACUCAAAUCAGCAAUCAACGAGACAUGCAUGGUUUAUUUUGGGCUUACCCUUGUUCUCCUGCCUCUUGGUCAUGCGGGCCUAGGUGAACUGUUGCAAGUUUUGAUUUCUUAAUCCAGCCCAAGAAUCAUUUUGCUUUUAACCAAGGUUUGGAACUACUAGCAAUUUAUUAAGUUGUAUUUAUCCUGAUACUAAAAUGGUACUUCUGUUAAAGUGCUGAACUGCCAGGUCCUGUUCUUUGUUUCGAAUGAGAUAGACCCUGGCUUUUGAUAUUGUUGUGAAAGGAGACAUGGGAGAUUUGGCUGCACAACUUCAUGCCUUGCAGCUGUGGUUUCAUGUGAUAAGUUGUUCUCCCUUUAGAUUUAUAGAAUUUUUGCUUUAUAGAUUUAAAAGUAUUGUGUCAUGACCUCAUCCAUCUAUUUAGCUUUAUAGAAUUUUUGCUGUCAGGUCCUACAACCCCUUUUGUUUAUGCGAUGUGAAAUAUACUUAACAUGAUAUUCUAAAUAGUUUUCACUUGCCACUUGCUAUGGAAGGUUAAAAAAAUGAAAGGCAAUUUACGGCUAUUGUUGUAUGGCAAGUUUCUAAUAACUGAUUUGACUUAGUGGUUUGCUAAAUGGAGUGUUUGCUUUUUCCUGAAACAAUGAUAUAUGGAGAUUUUUCUAUAACAUACUCGGUAUUUCGAUCCACACAGAACUACAAAAAAAUUAUAAGGUGAUAGCAAUCUUUGUUCCAAUGAUUGCAGUUUUGUUUAGUAUGACCUUUUGCCCGUAUCCCUCGACAGUCACAUUAGCACGCAAGUUGGAGCGACGGUCAGCGGCAAUUUUUUACAUGAUUUCAGGGUGAAAAAUAUAUUUACAUUUACAUGGGGCAUGCACCAAUAGGAUAGUUUAACUUGUGUGAUAUUUAUUCCUGCUGUAGAAUGUGCCUAGGGUGGUUAGAGCUUGUCCUCCGUAAGGCUCGGUAUUUAUAAUUAAAUGGCUAUCUGCGUUUCUCCCUGGCAUUUCUUUUAUUGUGUGCAAUAGCCUAUGAUCUGAUGGUGCUCUAGCCAUUGACUAUGCUAUUAUGGUAGUAAGACUCUCAUGUGUUGGUAGAAUAUACAUGCCACUUAAAAUUAGGAUCAGUUUACCAUCUAAGUGAAUACUAAUGUGUUAGUGCUUAACCUGCAUAAGGUUAGUGCCCCUCAUAAUUUUCUCUACAUUUACUUAGCAAAUGAUUAUUACAGAGCUUUCAGCUUUUGUCUACUGAGCUUACGUUUUCAUCUUGAUACUAUACUUAUCUCAAAAUUUCAUCUACCCAACAAUUGAUCAUGUGAAAUACGGAUGGUGUCAAGACGCACUCUGAUGUGGACAAUGUUUAAAUUUGUGCAAAGUAAUAAUGGUGUAUGGCAGAUGUAUUCUAUCUGCAUACCCCAUUGAUAUUUUCUUACACUGUGUAUGAGAUCAAUCUUGAAAAAGUAUAAAUUGAUCUCAUCUUUCACAAGCUCAUUAAAUACCAUUUUUGGCCUGAAGUGAAAAAUAUCAGAAAUAACUAGGCGAUUUAUGCUUGACAUUUUUUUUUUGUACUUCAAGGCCAAUCAUUGUUUUUCCUGAUGAGUGGUCGUCAAUGCAGUGGGAUUGCUCGAUGUUGAGUCCACCUGCUGAGCGGCGAGACAAAAGACGGGGGGUCGUGCGCCAACAAAAAUCCAUAUUGCAACUGUAUAUAUUCCUAUGGACUUUCUGGUGCAAAUAAGGAUAGAGCUCUACUAUAUAUAUUCUGAACAAGAUCCAUAUUACAAUUGUACAAUCAUUCAUAGAAAAUACAUUACUUAGAUAGUCUCAACUAAAAUUAUUUGUUGAAGUUGAUUUUCUAUCCUUGGAUAAUGGAUUCAUAUUAUAUGAGA